rnacentral:rRNA from 1 species
AGACUGCCGGUGUUAAACCGGAGGAAGGUGGGGAUGACGUCAAGUCCUCAUGGCCUUUAUGCCCAGGGCUACACACGUGCUACAAUGGGUGGUACAAAGAGAUGCAAUCUCGCAAGAGCAAGCAAACCUCAAAAAAGCCAUCCUCAGUUCGGAUUGGAGUCUGCAACUCGACUCCAUGAAGUCGGAAUCGCUAGUAAUCGCGGAUCAGCACGCCGCGGUGAAUACGUUCCCGGGCCUU